rnacentral:rRNA from 1 species
UACGUAGGGGGCAAGCGUUGUCCGGAUUUACUGGGCGUAAAGCGUGUGUAGGCGGCUCGGUAAGUCCGCUGUAAAAGUCAAAGGCUCAACCUUUGAAUGUCAGUGGAUACUGCCGGGCUAGAGUCCGGAAGAGGCGAGUGGAACUCCUGGUGUAGCGGUGGAAUGCGCAGAUAUCAGGAAGAACACCAACGGCGAAGGCAGCUCGCUGGGACGGUACUGACGCUGAGACGCGAAAGCGUGGGGAGCGAACAGG